UACGUAGGGGGCAAGCGUUGUCCGGAUUUAUUGGGCGUAAAGAGCGUGUAGGCGGCCAUACAGGUCCGUUGUGAAAACUCGAGGCUCAACCUCGAGACGCCGGUUGAAACCAUCUGGCUAGAGUCCGGAAGAGGAGAGUGGAAUUCCUGGUGUAGCGGUGAAAUGCGCAGAUAUCAGGAAGAACACCCGUGGCUAAGGCGGCUCUCUAGUACGGUACUGACGCUGAGACGCGAAAGCGUGGGGAGCGAACAGG
rnacentral:rRNA from 1 species